rnacentral:rRNA from 1 species
CUGGCGGCGUGCCUAAUACAUGCAAGUCGAACGGUCUUUCUAUGGAAGCUUGCUUCCACUGAGAAGAUAGUGGCGAACGGGUGAGUAACACGUGGGUAACCUGCCCAUAAGAGGGGGAUAACAUCCGGAAACGGGUGCUAAUACCGCAUAGUUUUCUUGAUCGCAUGAUCGGGAAAGGAAAGACGGCCUUUGUGCUGUCGCUUAUGGAUGGACCCGCGGCGUAUUAGUUAGUUGGUGAGGUAACGGCUCACCAAGACGAUGAUACGUAGCCGACCUGAGAGGGUGAUCGGCCACAUUGGGACUGAGACACGGCCCAAACUCCUACGGGAGGCAGCAGUAGGGAAUCUUCCGCAAUGGACGAAAGUCUGACGGAGCAACGCCGCGUGAGUGAAGAAGGUUUUUCCGGAUCGUAAAACUCUGUUGUCAGAGAAGAACAAGUUGGAGAGUAACUGCUCCAGCCUUGACGGUAUCUGACCAGAAAGCCACGGCUAACUACGUGCCAGCCGCAGC